CAAUUCCAACAGCUAUAGAUACCAAAAGAAGAUCUGAUGAGGUAGGGGCCUGAGGCGUCUCACAAGACAGAGUUUACCUGGUUGUGUUCAUCACAAUCAAAUAUGAUACUCAGCCUCAAAGAUCAUGAACAUCCCGGAUCAACAGUCUCAGAACACCACCCUGCAUGUCCUCUCUCACCCAGGGUGGCAUGCUAUUGAAGGUUCAAGCCAGAUGGGCUCACAGCACUGAGAUGGAGAACUGAACACAGGGGCCCACCCAGAGCCAAGAAACUAUUUGCAAUUGAUACCCACUGCCAAAGGGAAAAUCAGUUUUCUCUAAAGGAGUGUCAACCACACUCCAGGACAGACUCCAUUCCCAGGAGUUCACACAAAAUGGACUCCAAAGAUCAUAACCUUGGUUCAGCCCCAUAAGAAGACCGCAGACAGUGUGGAGCACCCCAAGUUCAGAGGAACAUUGACACCUUGGAAGCCGUCCAGAAGGGAACCGCAAAGCUGAGUUACAGGCUGUGAAGACUGGAGCAGUGGAGAGAGAUUUUCCACGAGGAUGCUCAGAUGAAGAGUGGCGACCCCGAGGUACGGAUGGCUCUACAGAACACAAAAAUCCAUGAGGCCUGGAGGAGCAACAGCUGCUGCGGAGGUCACUGCAGACCUCCUUUACUGUGACCUCUCCUUCCCCCAGUUCCUUCACAGCCAGUUGGAACAAGGGCAACAUGGGCCAGACCAUUGGAUCUAAAUUUGAAAGUCAAAUGAAAAUAGACAAAUGGAGUCACCUUCCCAGACUAUUCCUAGACAAAGAUGGAGGUGAGAAAGUCAACAGCGCAGGAGGGCUGGCUGCUGUCCAGGAAGGGAGGAGAGGCCAGUUUUUCCCAAAGCAGGUAAUGUUAGUGUUUAUUGUUCAGAAGCCAUCUGAAGAGAUCUGUGGAUUCUAAAAGGGGGAAGAAAUGAAGGCAAUGUCUGGGAGACAGCAGCUUUUCAUGUACUGCUCAGAAGUAUCCCAUGACCCAGAAGAACCACAUAAGCAUCAUCUGCUGCCCACAGAGUAAUGACCCUUCAGCACCGUUUGUGGAGCCAAACUGAGAAGUGCGAGCUCUGCUCAAAGUGUGUCCACACGAGAGUGCAAGUGUGUGGAGGUGGUCCCCUCUCUUCCAAAAAUGCCCCUUUAGGGCAGUUCUUUAGCAUCUGUCUCUUCUGCAUGCUCUGCUGUCUACAGGAGGAAGGAGACAGGAGAGAAGAGAGCCAGGCAACCCUUGUGAAAGGGUGACAACCCACAAGUUGAGAACAACAGCAUUAGAUGCAAGCAAGCUGUACUUUUGUGUUCGGACUGGACACUGCAACACCUUUGGGUCGAAACCACCGUCCGCCAUCCGCAAGACAUUUUUGGUGGAGCACAAAGGCUGACAUGCUGCUCCAAUAGGAUCUUCAGCCAGUUGGAAGCAUGAUCAACUUGCUCCCUCCUCCAUCCUUAGACAGUUCUUUCUGGAUCCCUUAGAAGGAAACUUAGAAGACUGAGUUGCAUUCACACUGGUGAGGAACUCUGUCUGAGAGUGUUCUUUCGCGGGCUCACAUUCAGUCAAUAUCUACUCAGUCAGAAACACGGUGCUGGAGCCUGAGCUACAGCUCAGUGGGUCAGCUCAUGCUCAGCAGGCUCGAGGCUCUGGCUCCACCCUCAGCGUCUUCACUAUCUCCUAAGGAGCAUCAUCAGAUACACCCAAGUUUGUGAUUGCACUUUAUCCAGCUCCAGUUCCUAUGCCUAAACAUUGGUAAUAUGAGGCGGAAAGUUCUAGAAACACAUAGUUCAUAAGGUUGAUUUUUUUUUAUUUGUUUUUAUGCAUUUGGGUGUUUUGCCUGAGUGUAUGUCUGUGUACAACGUGCAUGUAUGAUGCCUGAGGAGGCCAUAAAACGGUGUCAGAUCCCACAGGUAGUUGGUUGUGGGCAGCAG
rnacentral:lncRNA from 1 species